GUUGUGGCUCAGUGGGCAGAGCGCUUGCCUAGCAUGCAUGAGGUACUGAGUUCGAUCCCCAGCACCACA
rnacentral:tRNA from 1 species